UCCCUGGUGGCUCAGACGGUAAAGCGUCUGCCUACAAUGCAGGAGACCCGGGUUCGAUCCCUGGGUCGGGAA
rnacentral:tRNA from 1 species